rnacentral:rRNA from 1 species
UACGGGGGGGGCAAGCGUUGUUCGGAAUUACUGGGCGUAAAGGGCUCGUAGGUGGCCAACUAAGUCAGACGUGAAAUCCCUCGGCUUAACCGGGGAACUGCGUCUGAUACUGGAUGGCUGGAGAUUGGGAGAGGGAUGCGGAAUUCCAGGUGUAGCGGUGAAAUGCGCAGAUAUCAGGAAGAACACCCGUGGCGAAGGCGGCUCUCUGGGACGGUACUGACGCUGAGACGCGAAAGCGUGGGGAGCGAACAGG